GGUUCUAUGGUGUAAUGGUUAGCACAUUGGAUUUUGAUUCCAGGGAUCUGGGUUCAAUUCCCAGUAGAACCU